rnacentral:rRNA from 1 species
CGGAGGGUGCAAGCGUUGUCCGGAUUUAUUGGGUUUAAAGGGUGCGUAGGCGGCUUUUUAGGUCAGUGGUGAAAUCCUUCAGCUUAACUGGAGAAUUGCUAUUGAUACUGGAAAGCUUGAGUACAGACGAGGUAGGCGGAAUUUAUGGUGUAGCGGUGAAAUGCUUAGAUACCAUAAAGAACACCGAUCGCGAAGGCAGCUUACUAGGCUGUAACUGACGCUGAGGCACGAAAGUGUGGGGAUCAAACAGGAUUAGAUACCCUGGUAGUCCACACUGUAAACGAUGAUUACUCGAUGUGUGCGAUAGACAGUACGCGUCCAAGCGAAAGCGUUAAGUAAUCCACCUGGGGAGUACGAUCGCAAGAUUG